UGCAGAACACUGUACUAAGCGCUUGGGAAGUACAAGUUGGCAACAUAGAACGGCUGCCACAGUAGCACCGCGGCCCAUGGGCCCCGCGUCCCGCUCCCCGGGGCCCGGGGAUAAAUGUCGCCGCGGACACGC